rnacentral:rRNA from 1 species
GACGAACGCUGGCGGCGUGCUUAACACAUGCAAGUCGAGCGAGUGGUUUCCCUUCGGGGAUGAAGCUAGCGGCGGACGGGUGAGUAACACGUGGGCAACCUGCCUUAUAGAGGGGGAUAGCCUUCCGAAAGGAAGAUUAAUACCGCAUAACAUCAGAUUAUCGCACGGUAGACUGAUCAAAGGAGCAAUCCGCUAUAAGAUGGGCCCGCGUCGCAUUAGCUAGUUGGUGAGGUAACGGCUCACCAAGGCGACGAUGCGUAGCCGACCUGAGAGGGUGAUCGGCCACAUUGGGACUGAGACACGGCCCAGACUCCUACGGGAGGCAGCAGUGGGGAAUAUUGCACAAUGGGGGAAACCCUGAUGCAGCAACGCCGCGUGAGUGAUGAAGGCCUUCGGGUUGUAAAGCUCUUUGAUCAGGGACGAUAAUGACGGUACCUGAAGAACAAGCCACGGCUAACUACGUGCCAGCCGCCGCGGUAACAC